GAAUAAAUUAGAGUGCUUUAAGCAGAUUGUAUUUUUUUUACAAAAAUCAUUUAAAAAUGUUUGAAUAAUUUAGCAUAGAAUAAAAUAAUAAGAUUUGAAAGAUAAGAUUUGGUAAUUAUGUAGCAAAUAAUGAUAAAUAGGAAUAGUUGGGGGUAUUUGUAUUGAAUAGUCAGAGGUGAAAUUCAAGGAUUUGUUCAAGACAAACAUCAGCGAAAGCAUUUACCAAAGAUAUUUCCAUUAAUCAAGAACGAAAGUUAGGGGAUCGAAGAUGAUCAGAUACCGUCGUAGUCCUAACCAUAAACAAUACCAACCAAAGAUAAGAGGUUGUAAAAAUAACACUGUUAAAUUUUUUUUUAAGAGUGUUAAACCAACUCCUUUUUGAAUUUUAGAGGGAAACCAUUGAGUAUUUGGGUUCUGGGGG
rnacentral:rRNA from 1 species